AUAAUUAUAAUUGGAGAAAAAGGAAGAGAAUUUGCUUAUUGGUUUUAGUCUCUUGUGCUCAGCCACUCUCUUCAGUGGUGUAUCCAUGGCUGCUUUGAAGUCCUCCUGCUCAACCAUCUGUUGCAGCAACUGCACCUUUCCCUUCAAGGUUGGUAGCUGCUUCUGUACUUUCCAAACUCCUUGCUACAGCAGCCAUGGCUCCUCAUGCAAUUGCUGCUGAUUUUGUGUGUUCCAGGUUCCUUGAACAACCUUGACAUCCUUUCCU
rnacentral:lncRNA from 1 species